rnacentral:rRNA from 1 species
UACGAAGGGGGCUAGCGUUGCUCGGAAUUACUGGGCGUAAAGGGCGCGUAGGCGGACAUUUAAGUUAGAGGUGAAAGCCCAGGGCUCAACCCUGGAAUAGCCUUUAAUACUGGAUGUCUUGAGUUCGGGAGAGGUGAGUGGAAUGCCGAGUGUAGAGGUGAAAUUCGUAGAUAUUCGGCGGAACACCAGUGGCGAAGGCGGCUCACUGGCUCAUUUCUGACGCUCAGGCGCGACAGCGUGGGGAUCAAACAGG